UCGGUUCCGGUUCACGCCCUCGAUUUCGACGGCGACCCGGCGGCC
rnacentral:ncRNA from 1 species